rnacentral:rRNA from 1 species
AACGUAGGACACAAGCGUUAUCCGGAGUUACUGGGCGUAAAGGGCGUGUAGGCGGAUCGGUAAGUCUACUCUGAAAGCUCCUGGCUAAACUGGGAGAGGCGAGUGGAGACUGUCGGUCUAGAGUGAGGAAGAGGAAAGUGGAAUUCCGCGUGUAGUGGUGAAAUGCGUAGAGAUGCGGAGGAACACCAGUGGCGAAAGCGGCUUCUGGUCCUUAACUGACGCUGAGG